UCAAUAUCAGUGAUCAAAUCCCUUUUUUCCCACUUAAGUGUGUGCCAGUAGAAACUCAUAUGGGGGAACACAAACUCAAAGAAGGGACUCAAUUAUUUGUAAAUCGGUUGUCGGCGAUUCAGAUGACCGACAAUUCGAAUGAUCAAUUUGAAAAAGAUACAGAACUCGAGGGACUGAGCAUGUUUUUAUCCAACAAUCUUUUGGGUCCCCUCUAGUCUGACCGGUCCAGAACGACAUCUGGGAGGGUUUUUUAUACUUUCAGCACAAGAAAUUUAAUGGCCUUUUUGAAAGAACAUAGUAAGAUGGGCCCGUGAGUGGACUGAGUAGUUCCUCUCUUUUAAUGGCCCAAUUUGCACUCUGCCGAACGCUGCCCUUCCUUCUUUCUUCUUCUUCUUCUUUUUAAAUUAUUAUUAUUAUUAUCUUUAAUAAACGAACAAUAAAAAUCCUUUGGCCAGGAAUUUGAAUUUAUCAAAUAAUAUUAAUGAAAAUAAUAAAUUCUGCUUAAAACAUUUACGUAUAGUAAUUUCUCGAGUCAUCCAAAAUGUUAAACAACAUUUAUUAAAAAAAUCCUUUAAGCCACGUGUUAAACGAUAUUUGUUGGGUUUAUUUUAAAAGUAUUUUUUGAACCCAUUUUAUUUGUUUGAAUAUACCAGUAUUAUUCUUAACAAGGGAAUAGACGUGAUAACUUCUCCAAUUUUUUAUUUGAAAUGUAAAGUAUAUAAGGAAGUUGAAUUCAGGAAUAACAUGUGAUAUAUAAAAUGUCUUGCCAUGAUAUGAUGUUGAAAGUCUGGGGCUCGGACACAAAAGAAAGCAGUGGUCUGGACCUUUGGCUGUUCUGUUUAGCCGAACAAGAUUGUGGCUCGUUUAUGUCCAUAAAAAUGUUGAACACGUCGUAGUUUUUAAAGCGAGGCGUUGUACGUGUCACAUGUUAAGCCUUUAACUCGGCCUGCAUCUCUCUAGCAUUCCGUUCCACAAAAUCAAUGUCGUCGACAUUGUCGAAGUACGGGCCUUCAGAGCACAACCCCCUUUUUCUCGAGACCUUUCAGCUAUAGGGGUGGCGGCAAUGAUAAGGAACAAGAGGAGACCAUUGUCACGAGAAAUGGGAACACUAGCUUGUAGUUAGAACGGAAAUGGAGACGAUAAUAGAAAUUAGCUACAUGUAUAUAAAACGACAAAGCCACCCCGUUUCCCCGCUGUAUGUUACGGGGGAUUGAUGGUUUUGUUUUGGUAGUGGUUGGAAGGGCAACGGAUGUUCUUCCCAUACUCACUUAGAUCCUUAUCCAAAAUGAUGGACAGCACUUACCACUCCUACUUAAUUAUGUUAUUAUCUAGUACAUAUAUGCAUUCAUUAAUUUUGUUUAGCUGAUCUUUAGCUUCUCUUUCCUCUUUGUUUAGGGUUUUGUACUAUUUUUAUUUUACUACAUAGAAGACUCCCGUUACAGAACCUAGCUAAGAUCGAUGGUUAUACAUGUGGGAAAUGAACAUGUGUGUCAAAAUUAGGAACUGACUGGGUAUAGUUGAAUGAAUAAAGAAAUGCAAGGGGGCAUAUAAUUGUU